CCCCCCCCCCCCCCCCCCCCCCCCCCCCCCCCCCCCCGAUGAGGAAGAAGACUCGGGGUCAGAGGUCAGGAGGUGUAUAGUGAAAACUUUGUGACGUUCCGAUGUCGGUUUAAUAAAAACGUUCGAGAAUUUGAAUUCCUCAUUCUUGGAGUUUUUUUAUAAAAUAACAAAACCGUCAAUUACAAUGGUGGAGAUCAGUGAUAACAAGGAGAAAAGUGAACACGAGGAGGAAGAAGAAGAAGAAGAAGCUGAGAAGAAGAGAAGAAUGAAAGGACGAUGAAGAACUUCCGGGUUGUUGUUCCCGUAAACCUCGUGCAGAACCUCGAACCGAGAUCGUCGUGGUCGUGACUGAUGGGAAGAGAAGGUGGAACGGAGCCCUCCAGGUCAUCGGUGAAAUGGACAACUUCUUGAAAUGGCUCCAAUCACAAGCCGCAGGUUGUCCAGCUUGCAGGCUCUUCUCUCUUGGGAAGUCUUUUCCUCAACUUGGAGAAUGUUGUUCGAGAACUUUCCAGUUUCUGCAAAAAGUUUAUUGGAUUCCAAAAUGUGCAGCUGGAAAAUAUUCCUGGUUUCUGGGAAAACAGUUUCAGUGAUGUCUGCAACUUCCAUGAUCAGGAUGACGGAUUCACACCUGAGUCUGUAAGACAAGAAAUGGUGUCAGCGAACAGCACUACUUAUUCGUCUCCGCCACAGAGCUGCAGAUGUAUCUCAUCCCAUUAUCUAUCAUUUUAGAAUCAACACCAGUAUUGAUAAACUCUGGUAAUACUGGUAU
rnacentral:lncRNA from 1 species